UGGUAGUAAGGGGCCUGCCCCUGUCAGCGGGUCUACAGCCCGCCACCUACUCUCGGCCACAC
rnacentral:tRNA from 1 species